rnacentral:snRNA from 1 species
AUAACACCUAAUUUCUUACCCAU